UACAGAGGUCCCAAGCGUUGUUCGGAUUCACUGGGCGUAAAGGGUGCGUAGGCGGUCGGGUAAGUCUGACGUGAAAUCUCCAAGCUCAACUUGGAAAUGGCGUCGGAUACUAUUCGGCUCGAGGAAUGGAGGGGAGACUGGAAUUCUCGGUGUAGCAGUGAAAUGCGUAGAUAUCGAGAGGAACACCAGUGGCGAAGGCGAGUCUCUGGACAUUUCCUGACGCUGAGGCACGAAAGCCAGGGGAGCAAGCGGG
rnacentral:rRNA from 1 species